rnacentral:rRNA from 1 species
AUGUCCAAUGCGCGGUACAGCUGCAAGGCAUUGACGCGGAUGCAAGAGGAGGACAACCUGCCAUGGAUGCCUACGGCGCGGCGGCCGCCGCAGCUUCCAUGGAGGAACGCAGCCUUAAAAACAGAAAACCUGGGCCUUCAACAACCCACUUACGGAGGGAAAUGGAAGGUCGUUCUAUGGAGCAGCGGCCCACGAGACGGUGACUGGAUCGCGUGGGUACAACCUGGGACGAUUGAGCUGAUCUACAUCGUAGGCGGACGGACGGGCAGCUGGUUUGAAUGCGGAGAUAACUGCCAAACAAGUCUCUUCGACACGGAACAAGCGUGGAGACCAGGACGUGGAGCGGGCGUCGCUCUUGGCCGAUGCCACUUCAAUGCUGACAUGAAUGCGGCGCCGGUGCCGCCGCAAAGGCGCGCGAGGUGGUGGAGCUCGACAACGACGCCCACGCCGUCGAUUGUCACCAAAGCCCUAGACUCCGAAGGGAUUUGCGUGGGCCAUGACACGGAUACAAGUGAGGGUUGGCAGGAGGUGCUACCACGGCGCGGCCCGUGUCGUUCGACUUCGUCGCCAUCCUCGAGGAUGGCUGCUCGUCCUCCUCGUCCCAUUCCUGCUUGGCUCCACGGUAGAUGUUGCAGAUGCCUUGCUUAUGGGCAUCGUGCGGCUGUUUGCAGAGAUCCGUUGCGGUGCUCCCGUUGUUUGGAGAAUGGUCAUCGUGCGCAUGAAUGUCGCAACCCCUGGCGUCCUCUGAGCUCACUACCAUGCCUUGAUGUGCCGCAUGUGUCCCGCCUCGGCGUCGUGCAUCGUGUUGCUCCUGCUUCAUGUGAGGGUUCGGUGAGAUCCACACCCCCUUCCAAGGGACUUCACCGUGGGUCUUGGGCGUCUGUUGUCUCUGCCACUGCUGCCUCGACAACCUCGUCAGAGCUGAUGUUGCAGUCCGCACUGGCUGGUCAGACUGCACUGUUACAAGGUUGUGUGGCGCGGGUUGAGAGCUUUCUGGAGCGAGCGGAGGUUGCUUUGGGUAGACUAUCCCUUGUGCCGGCUCUGUUGCAGACCACUCUGGCGACACAUUCUCCUUGUGCGGCCGGUGUUUGCUCCGUGGGUGAUAGGGGUGAGGAGUUGUACGGCUCUUUCUCCCCUCGUGUUGGAGUCCAUUCAUCGUCGAUGCCUACUUCCCCUCCUAUGGUGUCUUCCACUGAGGGCCAGUCCAUCGCCGUGCUUGUGGCUCCGGUGCUGCAGAUCAUGCCCGAGCUUAGGGAGUUAUGCCUGAGUUUAUCAGUGGACAUACGAAGCAUUUGGCGGACCGUCUACAUGGUCGUGAAAGUGCUGGAGCAUCGUGGUUUCCCGUGCAUCCAUCGUUCCAUUUCGCUGCCUGCUAACGAGCCAGUUUUCUCUUGCCGUUGCCUGGCUCGGUUGCUUCUUACCGUCCUCGUUACACUCUUUCUUCUCAGGGGCAACCUAGUCGCCGGUGAUCAUUGCCGCCCCAGAUAUUUAAAAGGCGCAGCCAGUCCAUCAGUUAAAGGCGUAGUCAGUCCAUCCGUUAAAGGCGCAGUUAGUCCACCUAGUCCACUUAACCCGGUACCCUGCCCAAUAAUGUACCCUACAUACAAAAAAGCUAAACCUAUGGGCGAGCUACAAAAGGGCUACGGACCUUUCCAUCCUUGA